ACAAAUUCUGUGAAGAGAAAAAGUAAAAUAUAUUAUUGUUCCAAAGAGAGUUGGUACUUUGCUGAAAGCCAAUGUUCAAAAUAUAUUUGAAAAUCAUCUCUGAGAAGUAAAACUGAAUUUUUUAGUAAGUUUUACCGGAAGUUUUCGCCGUUAAAAGAAAAGCGUAUUAUUUAGUACGUAACUGAGAGCUAUGAAAAUAUAGUUUAUAUUUAUUAUAUAUUUUUAUAGAAUUAGGGUGGUAACGCGAUUAAACCUCGUCCCUUUU
rfam:Clostridium tetani E88, complete genome.